ACCCACAAGGCUACUUGCCUCUCCUGAAACCACCUACUUUGGCCGAGAACCAAUCAACAGAAUCAGGGCAGAACCUUCAGUGGACCAGCAUGGGUUGAAGGGGGGUUCAAUAUGUCUGGUUGUUCCAGAACCUCCUGAGAUGAUCAAAGGACUUCAAUGGAGGAAGGACAGUGAUGUAAUAUUUGGAGACAAAGAGAUCUCUCCUAAAUACAAGGAUAAGGUGGACUAUAACAAUGAUAACCAUUCUCUGUGUAUUAAGAAUCUAAUGGAAACUGACAGUGGAAUUUACAUGGUAAACUACAGGAAACAUUGGAAACAAUCAACUACUACAUAUAGACUGUUAGUGGAGGAUCAUGUUCCCAAACCAGUCAUGGAUGUCACAUCUCUCAACACAAGUGUGGGACUCUGUGAUGUCACAGUGAACUGUUCAGUUAAAGAUGGCUGGAUGUUGUCUGUCUGUGACAGCGGUCAGUGUACACUGUCACAACAGUCUCCGUCACUAACCGGUGGUAACAUGACCAUCUCCGUAUUGACUGGAAGGAUCCAAUGCACCAGCAGCAACCACGUCAGCACACAGACCAUCUCUCAACCCAUGGAGGACUGUAGUGGUAAUGUGAAAGCCUCAGUGUUACCAGUUGGCACCAUUGUGGGCUGUGUUACUGGUAUAUUACUCCUAGUUGCUGUGUUACUUGGUGUUGGAUACAUCAAACAUACCAGAAGACAGAAAAUCCCUAAAGAACAAAGUCCACUAGAAGAGGUCAUUGUUCCAAGAGUUUACAACUCAGUGAAGACCUCACCAGGGAGAGAAGAACCACAGCAUCUCCUUACCAGAACCACAGCCCUGUCCUGACCAGAACCACAGCACUCUCCUGUCCAGAACCACAUCACUCUCCUGUCCAGAACCACAUAUAUAUACAUUUUUAUAUUCCAUUUCAUGGAAGUUUCUUUAUCCAUGAAAUGAAGUGGGUGGAGAACAAACCCCUCUUCACAUUGUUACAGAUAGAAUUGAACCAUUAUUUUGAAAUGAUCAGUAAAAGUGGAAAUACAAAAAAGCAAUAUGUAUCAUAAAAUGUUUUGACAAACUGAAAAUGUAUCUUGACAUGUAGUACCCGUCUGUUAGUUCUUCUCACUGGUGGAUUUGGUGGUAUCCUGUAUAGCUUCCUGCAUUUACUCCCAGCAAGCACAAAACCCUUCAUAGAGUUGGUCCAUACUGACUGUCUCUGUCAUUUUGAGGGAAAACACCUGCUCCAGAUCAGUGAAGGAGAGGUUUUGUUGCAUGUUUAUCCAUAUUUCGUUGAUAUGCCAAACCGAGAGAACAACAACAGAAAUUACUUUGCAGGAAUUGGCGUGUUUACUGUGAUUUGAUGAAUAUACGGGACAAGGGAGGUCCCGUAUGGGACAAACCAAUUUAGCCCAAUAUAAGAGCCAUCCCGGCUAAUACGGGACAGUUGCCAACCCUAUUUGACGUUUUCAAAUUAAACUCUCAUUUAACGUG